UGGACAUACACGCGUUGGGUUAUUGUGGCAGUGAAAUGUCGGGAUGGAGUUAAAGCUCCAGGCUAGGAAAUAGAAAUAAUUUUUUCUAUGUAGGAGAUUAAUUAUGAGUAGGAAGGGAGGACUACCAGUUGAACAUGGUGAACAAAAUGAAGAAUGCUGUAUUUCACAGUUCAUUCUGUAUGAUUUUUAAAUCCUUGAAAUUUUACCUUUUAUGAAAUCUGUCUAUUUUUCAAAUUAAAUAUAAAAUAGAAGUCAUCAUAGAAACACAAACAAAAAUUAAGAGCAGCAACGAUUGGGAAGAGAAGCCUGUGAAGCUCCUCUUCAAAGCUUUGUUUUUUUAUAUAUACAAAUAAAACGUUUACCUGGACAUACUACGGGAUAAUUUAAUGCUCUGUGUGUGUAUUUCAGAUGGAAGUGGUAGCAGUCAGGGAGAGAAGUACUCCUUUUCAACUCCUCUAGUAUGGAAAGCAGUGAAGUGUGAAAUGACAGCAAGAGAAGCCAGAGGAGAACAGGCAACUGAUGAAGAGUUACUGGAAUGGAGAAAAUAUUUCUGGAUUGGAGGCUAGGAGCAGACUAGAAAACUGUUACGCUGCUCAAUGCAAGCAGAAGUGAGCAUUCCAGGAAAAUUUAAUUUUUUUUAGAGCGAUCAGAAUAUUGAUGCUGUGAAAUUUGAAAGCAUGAAUUGGAUGACUUGGUUAUGGAAGACAUUUGCCCAUCAUUAAUGGUGAAUGAAAGCAGAUUCAAGAACGUGAUUAAUAGCAAACUCUUCAAUGACAAAGCAGAGGAGUUAUGGAAGAACCGCUAGGAUCAUCUGCUGGCAGCCUGGCUGGUGAGCCUUGAAACAAAGAAGAGCAAGUGUUGCCUCGAUGAACCAUGCGGCUGUUUAAUCGUAGAGCCCACGGAACCAUUAACUCAGGUUUCCUUCUCCUUUUGCGCUGUCACAAUAACAUUUAGUUUACUAGGUUACAACAUCAGGUGGGAUCGUGUUUUUCACAACAUAUGGAUUAACAUACUCCAUUGUCAGUGGCAAUAGACCACAAUUUAUUUCAAGUGAGUUCAAAGACUGUGUGAGACAAAAUGGGAUGUGACACAGAACACUGAUACUGUUGUGGCCUCAAGCAAAGGCAGAAGUUGUACACCAAACCAGUGCAUUGCUAAAGGCAACCAGAACAGCGCCAGCACAAAAACUAAUAGACUGGAAAUAAAAAAUAAGAGUAACCCUAGUGGCUUACA
rnacentral:lncRNA from 1 species